rnacentral:rRNA from 1 species
UGGGGAAUAUUGGACAAUGGGCGCAAGCCUGAUCCAGCCAUACCGCGUGGGUGAAGAAGGCCUUCGGGUUGUAAAGCCCUUUUGUUGGGAAAGAAAUCCAGCUGGUUAAUACCCGGUUGGGAUGACGGUACCCAAAGAAUAAGCACCGGCUAACUUCGUGCCAGCAGCCGCGGUAAUACGAAGGGUGCAAGCGUUACUCGGAAUUACUGGGCGUAAAGCGUGCGUAGGUGGUCGUUUAAGUCUGUUGUGAAAGCCCUGGGCUCAACCUGGGAACUGCAGUGGAAACUGGACGACUAGAGUGUGGUAGAGGGUAGCGGAAUUCCUGGUGUAGCAGUGAAAUGCGUAGAGAUCAGGAGGAACAUCCAUGGCGAAGGCAGCUACCUGGACCAACACUGACACUGAGGCACGAAAGCGUGGGGAGCAAACAGGAUUAGAUACCCUGGUAGUCCACGCCCUAAACGAUGCGAACUGGAUGUUGGGUGCAAUUUUGGCACGCAGUAUCGAAGCUAACGCGUUAAGUUCGCCGCCUGGGGAGUACGGUCGCAAGACUGAAACUCAAAGGAAUUGACGGGGGUCAUAGCUGUUUUCC